UCCUUAUCUUUGCUAUAUUUCACUCAUCACAAGCUCAAAACUCUCCUCAAGAUUAUCUUAACCCUCACAAUGCAGCUCGUAGACAAGUUGGUGUCGGUCCUAUGACAUGGGAUAAUAGGCUAGCAGCCUUUGCCCAAAAUUACGCCAAUCAAAGAGCUGGGGACUGCAGGAUGCAACACUCUGGUGGCCCUUACGGUGAAAACCUAGCUGCCGCUUUCCCCCAGCUCAACGCGGCUGGUGCUGUGAAGAUGUGGUUCGAUGAGAAGCAAUGGUACAAUUAUAAUUCAAAUACUUGUCAAGCGGGUAAAGUAUGUGGACACUAUACUCAGGUGGUGUGGCGUAACUCGGUACGUCUUGGUUGUGCUAGGGUCAGGUGCAACAACGGGUGGUAUUUUAUAACUUGUAAUUAUGAUCCACCAGGUAACUGGAGAGGACAACGUCCAUACGGUGAUCUUGAAAAUCAACCGGCUUUCGAUUCCAAGUUGGAACUUCCAACUGAUAUCUAAUUAUAAGUUUACAUGAUCAAAACAUGAAUGAAUAAAACGAUCAAAUGUUUAAGGAAAAUAAAAUCCAGGCUAUGCUUAUGUGAUGUUAUCUUAGGUAGUGACUGGGGAUUGGGGAAAAAUGUAGUCUAAACUUAUAUAUAUGCGUGCUUUUUUCUUGGUAUAUGUGUAUCACAGUGUAUAUUGUUUUACAGCUUUUUGUGGGCUUUAUUGGAUGUGUGUAUGUUGCAGCUUAUUGCUUUCGGCCUAAAUUCUGUACUAAUUCUGUUCGGCCCACGUUCUGUUAUUACUAAUUCUUAUGAAAUAAUUAAAUAUUACUUCAUUAAUUGAUCAUUUCAUACUAAAUUUGAAGUCAAAUACACCUAGAUACAUAUAUUUUUACUAUCAAAAUACACUUUAAAAUAUAAAUACAUAGGGAGAGAGGUGAGUAGGGGUGACAAUCAGACGGAUUGAGUCAAAUUUAGACGGGUCAAAUUAUGUCAAGAUCCAAUCCAACCCAAAUUUACUUGGGUCAAAACUGAUUUGGUAAUGAGUUCUAUAAUGGGUCAAAGACCCAACAUAACCCAAUUUUUACCAAGCCUAAUUAUUUUAGUAUUCUUUUAAAUAUGACUUGCAUAAAUCUCAUAGUGUAAGACCUAAAUUACAUUCUAUCCAUACUCUUUUCUAUUUUACAAAAAUUCCUUCAAAUAUCCGUCAUCCGGAUACAUUAAUUGUGAUACAUUAUACAACUAGUUUGUUGAGAUUAAAAAGGAAAUUAAACAUAAAAUUAAAUGUCAGUUCCCCAAAUCAUGCAAAUCAAAUUGAUAUUAAUCACUCCCAAAUAACAGCUCCAAACAAUUCAGAUUUCAAAUUUCUUCUCUCAAAUUCUCUCCCAAAUUGUAACAAAUUAAAAAAAAGUCGAUAAUUGCAUAUAGUUAUGUAACAUAUACAAAAAAAAAUUAUGAAUAUGAUAUAAAUUGAUUUAUUUAUAAAACAGUGUUGCAGAUACUUAACAACAUGCGAUUCAUCACAACAUCUAAUACAUAACUAUGUUAUACACAUAACAAACAUAUAUAUAAGGCCUAACCCAUUGAUGGCCCCAUAAAGUUGGCACAAUGUUUCACAUAGAUGUCUUAACUCGACGAUGUUCAUUUUAGACACCUCGUAUAGCGUCCCACUAAGUUAUUUUGACACUUUUCACUUACAUGGCAUAAUGAAGGUAAUACACUCACUGACUCGCACCUGAAAUGACUUUUUAGUUAAUUUUAAAGUAUUUUCUUCUUCUUCUUCUUCUUCCCCAUUUUCUGCCACCAUUUUGCCAAGUUAAAUUUCAUCCAUUAUAGAUGAAGGUUACAACUAAAAUGACGGAAAAUGUUUUUAAAUUGAAGAAUUUAAUAUGAAUCUCUUUUAACUAAGCAAUUUAUUUUUUUGAAAUAGCAAUGGUACUGUGCGGAUGUAGGUGGGGGUAGUUUCUGCAAAAGGGAUGGGGAGGUUUUUAUUUUUGGUAAUGAAAAUUUCAAAUGGUGCACACUAGGGUAUUUCGAGAAGAAAGGUGUGGGGUUUGGGUUUGGGGGUGGGGGUUAUUUACAGGUUGGGUUUUGGGGGCUUUGGAGAAGACGAUCGUCGGGGGGGGGGUUAUUUGGUUUUUAUUUAUUUUGUAAUUAUUUGGGGAAAAAUAUUAUGUGUCAUUAAUUCAUUGGUCAAUUUUUAUUUUUACUCAAAAUUAAUUAUUUAAUAAUUACUUUUGAUACAAAUCGUUUAAUUUGUCACUUUACACGUCAUUUGUGAGUGUAACACACAUAUUAUAUAUUUUUACUGAUAUUAAAAAAAGUGUCAAAAUGACAUAGCGGGACCCUACAUGAGGUGUCUAAACUAAAUAUCGCCUAAUUAAGGUGUCUAAGUGAAAACAUCGUGCCAACUUUAGGGGGUCACCGAUGGGUUAGGCCUAUUCACAACUAUGAAUAUGAUACAAUUUUGUUAUAAAACAUUAGUGUUUAUGUAUCAACAAUAAUAUUUUAUAGUGUCUACCGAUACAUAGCCUUCUACUAGUUGAAUAAGGUUGGGUGUAUGAGUCGGUAGUAAAAGAUAAAGAAAUUUGUAAUAUUUGUGUAUCCAAUACAUAGCUAUGAACAUGAUACAUAUUAAUUUGUGUUUCAAUAAAUUAGGGUUAUGUAUCAAAACUAAUAUUUGAAAAUGAUAUAUUGUACAUGAUAAAAUUGUAAUGUAUCAUAAAGGUGAAACGAACAAAUUAUACAUUAAUUUAAAAAUAAAAAUCAACUAGAUAUAUUAAAAGAUCUAAACUCAUAUGUAUGAGAAAAAGAUGAACAACAAAAAAUCGAAAAAAAUCAACAAUCUAAUUUGCUGAAAGCAAAAAAAUGAUGAAGAAGUCCUUCUACACUUUCUCUUUGCUCUACAUCAACUCCCGUAGCUUUUUUUUUCACUUUCAACAAUGACGUCACCCAUGGAUCUCGACCCAAAGCCCUUACCGGAGCCACCAACAACUCGACCUUUUCCUUUUUUUUGGGUGUUCUUUUCCCAAUCGAUUUUGAAAUUGAAGAUGCAUCCUUCUUCGAUUAAAUUUGUACAUGAAAAAGCUAAAAUAAAAUAAAAUUUGAUACCAAAUGAAGUAGAAAGAAAAAAAAAUUAGAUAAAGAAUAACUACCUCUUCAAUAACUUGCAAUUGAUGAAUCAGAAAGAUAAAAGAUCCGAAACUCAAAAAUAGACUGAUGGAGAUAAUUGAUGAUACGUGAAAGAAGGAUUUUUUUUUUUUGGAUGAUAGUUUACAGUGAUGUAUAUUAAAAAGUGAGAGAAAUUAUGGAAAAGAGAGAUUUUUGUAAUUUUUUGGAAUGGUAGUGAAUAAUAGAAAAUGGGAUAAAAAAUAAUGUGUAGUUUGGUAAUUAAUCCUUCUUUGAAAUUAUUUUAGAACCUAAUAAAAUUAUUUUUUCUUUAUUAUGGCUAUAUAUAUAUCAAAUUGAAAAAAAGUUUUUUUUUAAAUAAAUAAAUAUUUUGACUAGAUUGCUUAUGAACCAAUUUGGAUUACAUACCAGCCUAAUUUUUAAUGGAUUGAAAUAGAUUGAGCUAAUGAAUGAGCGUCAAUAACCCGCCAAAUUCAAAGGGGUUGGACGGGUUGGGUUUGGUUUUGUUACCUAUAGAGAGGUGUGUGAGAGAUGAGAAAGGAGAGCGAAAGAGUGUGUACCCCAGAUACAUGUAAAUAACACUAUAUACAUACAUGUAAAUAAUACUACAUAUAAGGUGGCGUACAUACACUAAUAAUAAUGUAUAAAAGUAUUUAUAGACGUUUAUACAUUAGUAUUUAUACGUAUAAGAUUGUUGUGAGGUUACAAAGAUGAUCGAUGGGCAGCCUAUUUUUCUUUCUUACAAAUAAAAAAUUGAUGAUGCUUCGAGAAGCACACAAUUAUUUAUUUAAUAAUUCGAAAAAUGUAUUGCUUCUAUGUAUUUAAUUAUUAUUAAUAAUAUUGUCGUGCUUCUCACGUGUUUAUAAAAAAAUGUUUGAAGGGUCAAAGUAGCACUCUCUACUCUGCUCCCCGUGAUCCUAAAUCUUAGUGAUUCACCACGUAUUAUUAUUAAUAUUAUUAUCAAAAACGAGAAGAAAUCGAUGACAUCCAUAAACGAUAAUGUGAAAAUAGUACUCUGUCCAUUUAAUAAUAAUUGUCUACUAUAUUAUUUUGGAAUGUUCAAUAAUAUAUUUUUACUUUAUGAAAUAAAUGGAUAAUUUUACACUUAGUUCUUAAUUUACCCUUAUCGUUAAUUAUAGUAAUUUUUGUAUUACAUUUUUCAAGAUAUUAUAUUUAUUAUAUUUAAAGGGUAAAAUAGUAAAAUUAUCCUUCUAUUUAUAGUUUCUUAAGAAGUGUGCAAAGUGAAUAAUGAACAAGUACUGUUGGAAAAAUAGAGUAUUAUCUUUUAAUUUAAAUUAAAUGACACUUAUCUUUUAAGUUUAUUGUAAAAAUUUGUCAUAUUCCUGUAAUAAAAAAUAGUUUAUUUUUAAGUUUUUUUAUUUACCUUUUAAGAAAAAAAUUAUAAUCACUCAAAUGAUCAGUUUUUUUAAUUUUUUUUUUUUAAUGAUAAGUCAAAUGGUAUGAUAGAAUUUGAGAUGGAGAGUAUUAAUAGUUUAUUAGUGAAAAAAAAAAAUGAAUGUUUAAAUCACAUGACUAAUGGCUUGAGGCGCGGCUCUUAUCAUUUAAACAAAUAGUUGCAUGAUGUGGCGUGUUCUUCUUUAACUUUCACAGGGUGUGUUUGGUAUAUGUGGAAAAUAUUUUUCAAAAAAUGUACUUAAAAAUAGAAGAAAAUGACUUUCUUAAUUAAUAAAAGUAAGAAAAAUAAGUUAUAUGAGUGACAUAAAUAAGUUAAUUCCAUAUGAAUGAGAAAAACUCCACGGUGAUGCUAUAUUUUAUAUUAUAUUAUAUUCUCUCUUUGUUCUAUCCUAUAUGUAUUUCUUUUCGCUACAAUGAAUUAGCGGCCGAUAAAUUUUAUAGAUAAACAAAUAAAAAUUUCAAGAUGAUCUUUUUAGCUACGAUUAGCAAUGAAUUCCAAGAAAAUCCAAUUAGAAAGAAGUUAUUUAACAACCAAUAAGCUGGGGGGUGGACCGGUAGAAAUGUGGUGGUGUUUGAGUGAAUUUUCAUUUCGUAUAAAAAUGUAUAAAACAAAACUUAAUACGUUUUUAUACACUAUUUAUACAUUAUAGAAUGAAUAUAUAAGGUGGCCUGAAAUCUGAAUACACUAAAAAUAACGUAUAAGAGGUGUGUAUAUUCGCUUAGUUAUUAUAAUAUAUAUAUAUAUAUAUAUAUAAAAGGUGGCCUACAUACACUAGAAAUAACAUAUAAACAUACGUUUACGCACUAUUAACGUUAUAUUUAUAAGGUGGCCUAAAUACACCAAAAAUAACAUAUAAGAGGUGUGUAUAUACGUUUUCGCAGUAUUUUAUAUAUAUAUAUAUAUAUAUAUAUAUAUAAUGUUGAAAUUUUAGUCUGUGAGGGAUUGACAAUUGGUUCUUCAUCUUUUCUUUUUUCGGAUCUGAGUUUUGUUCCUUUUUGAAUUAUUGUAGAUUCUUCAUUGUGAUUGUUAUAAGAAUACUGGAUCUAGUAUAUUUUUCGUUGCAGGUUUAUGGGUAGGCCUUUAUUUUUUAAAUUUAAAGUAUGAACUACGGUUGCUUUUUUUGCUUUAAUACAUAAUAUCGUGUUUCUUGUGUGUUUAAUAAGAAAUUGUUGAAAUUAAAGUCAAGUUCAUAUAUAGAAAUUAAAAUAACUCCUAGUUGUUCGCUGUCUUUUUUGUUUUCAUGUUUCAACUAUAACAUACAUCUUCUCUAAGUUAAGAUAUUUGUUUCAAUUUAUUUGAAUUUUUUUUAAAAAUUUGUUUCAAAAGAAUAUUUCUUUUCUCUAUUGCAACUUUUUAAUUGUAACUUAACAUAUUUAAAAUCACAAGAUUAAGAGCAUGUUUGGCAUUGCUGUUGGGAGGGCCAGAAGUGUUUUUUUUUUUAGAAAAAAAACACUUAUUUUGAGAAAUUAAGUGUUUGACAAAUUCUUAAAACUGCUUUUAAAUGGAAGCAAAAACAGUUUUUCUGCGGUUGGAAAGAAGCUAAAAAUUUCUAUUUUAAAAAAAAAGCAGAAGCAGAAAUAGAAAAUUAAUUAUUUAAACUAAAAUAUUCCUUACAUAUAUACAUAUUUAUCAAUAUAUCUCUUAUUAAUUUUUUUACUUUUAUAUAAUAUUUUUUUAUUUAUUUAUGUUUUAUAUUAUUAUUUAUUAUAUUAUAUUGUAUAUAUUACUUUAUGUACAUAUUAGAAAUAAAAGUAACAACAAUAUUUUUGUUGGAUUAAAAAUGAGAAAAAAUAACAAUUAAAGAUUUAGACCCUCCCAAAAAAGUAAGAAUAACAAAAUUUUUUUCUUAAUUGACGUAUUAUUUUAUUUUAGAUUGAAUUUUUAAAACUUUAGAGUAUUAUAACAAAAAAAAGAAGAGGAUAAUAGCUAAGAUUGAAUCCAAAAAAUAGGUAAUAAAUAACAAAUAGAUUCUUCUUUUAAAAAAAAAUCAACAAUAUUUAUCUAUGUGCAAUACUAAUUGAAAAUUUGAAUAUUUACAUUUCAAAUAAUUAAAUUAAAAAUGUAAUUAAAGUUUUCGUAAUUUGACUAUCAAAAACACUUUUUAAAGAAAAUUAGCCAAACACAAAUUGCUUAUCAAAAACACUUUUCAAAUGAAUUUGCCAAACACAAAUUGCAUUUUUUGGAAAACAUUUUUCUGAAAAGCUAUUUUGAAAAAAACGCUUCUAAAAAUAAGCAUUUUUAAAUAGCAAUGCCAAACAGGCUCUAAAUGUCAGUUUGAUACAUUCUAGAUUCUAGGUAUCUUUAGUUUAGGAAUACAAGAUUAAAAAAUUCUUUACUUUUUUAAACUCCAUACAAAAUCAAAAUCAGAACGAAUUAAAACCAAAGAAAUAGCUAAUGUAUAUGACUUUUGUGAAAAUUAUUUUACAAAUAAAAGGAAAAAGUUUACUAAUUUAUUGUUUCACCCUAAUCUCAUCACAUGAUUAUUAAAUAAUCCAAUAGAGUCUACUAACAAGUAACCUUUGAAUUCUUUAAUUAAUUUUCUUCCAUAAAUUGCAGACUAUUCAACUCUUUUUUCCUAUUUAAACCAAUCCAAACUAUUCCUUAAUUCUCACCAAAGCACAAAAAUGGGAUACUCCAAUAUUGCCUUAUUAAUUGUUUGUUUAUUACCUUUGCUAUAUUUCCCUCUAUAUCCGAAGCUCAAAAUUCUCCCCAAGAUUAUCUUAACGCUCACAAUGCAGCUCGUAGACAAGUUGGUGUCGGCCCUAUGACAUGGGACAACAGACUAGCUACCUUUGCUCAAAAUUAUGCCAAUCAAAGAAUUGGGGACUGCAGGCUGCAGCAGUCAGGUGGCCCCUAUGGCAAAAACCUAGCCUCCGCUUUCCCCCAGCUCAACGCGGUGGUGCCGUGAAGACGUGGGUCGAUGAGAAGCUAUGGUACUACAAUUAUAUUUUGAAUAUUUUUGUACCGGGAAAAGUAUGUAGACACAAUACUCAAGUAGUAUGGCGUAAUUCAGUACGUCUUGGUUGUGCUCAGGUCAGGUGCAAUAACGGGUGGUAUUUUAUAGCUUGCAAUUAUGAUCCACCAGGUAAUUGGAGAGGCCAACGUCCAUACGGUGAUCUUGAAGAGCAACCAGCAAACUAAUUUGAUUCCAAGUUGGAACUUCCAACUGAAUAAAUUAAGCUUUAUGUGUUAAUUAAUUAAGGAAAAUAAGUCCAGUAGUACGAUGCUGUGCAUGAAUUAAUUUACUUUGAUUUAGUAGAUAAGUUUAUCAUUAUUUCUUUAUUUAGUGUUCUCUUGAAGAUUUUUCAACAAAUGAACAUGAAUUAAUUUACUUUGAUUGACUAAUUUGAUUAAUGAACAUAAAUUAUUUGCUUAGUUUUUCUAUAUUGGUCAAAUUUAUUCUUUCAAGGCUAACAACUUUCAAAGGGUAAAUAGGAAGAAUAGUGUCAAUAUUAUGUAUUAGCUUUGUGAAAUGACAAAUAUUAAGGAACGUCUAUUUUACUAAGGACGAAAUGUAAAUAGAAACGGAUAGAUUAAUUAUAGACCGACAAAAAGUGAUUUUGAACUUUUCAAAUAAAAUUAAUUAGUUGACAUGUAAUUCCCUUUUGAACGUUUCUUGAAAAAUCAACGAAUAAGAAGUAUUUUAUUCAAUCUUUUGUUUUACUAAUUACUAUUAAUUACCUCUCUCUCUUCAAUGAGUAGACACCCAAUUUUUAAAAAUAAGAUUAAGCUAAUUUUAUUGAAAUUUGAACAAUAAUCACUUGUUUGAUAUGUCUUCAAAUUUAUAGUUUUUAAGAUAUUACUGUAUCAAAAAUGAUUUUUAGCAAUAAUUAAUUAAUGAUAAUAGAUUAAUUACAACUAAAAAUAUAUUUUUAGCAUCAAUUAGUGCUCUUUGUAAAUUUUCCUAAAGCAUUUAGCGACAUUGAAUCCAAUGACAAUUAAUUAAUGCUGGUAAAGACUUUAGCCCUCUUUGUUAUUGUGUAUAUCUAUUAUCGCUUAUAAAAGGUGUUUUUAUUGUAAUGUAUGUAUUAAUAUUGGUUACUUUCAAGAACACUUAGUAUAAGGGGUAAAAUGGGAUAAAAUCAAGUAAUUUUAUCUUAAUUUUAUAAAAUGACAAGUACUCUCUAUGAUUCAUUUUACUUGUCAUAUACUCCAUUUCUUUUGCUCGCCAACAUUAAUUAGAUUUGAUCAUUUAGUUGAUACCACUCUCUUUUUUACCACAUUAAUCUUUCUCCCUACUUUAUUACUAUUAGAUCAGGGUAAAAGUAAAACCAACAAUUAAUUAUAUCUUAAAUUUCUAAAAUAACAAUUAUUUUGGAUAAAUUAUUUUUACUAAUCACGAUAACUAAAAUGGAUAGAAUUAAGAAAGAUUUUAAGACAAAUAUUUUUAAAGUAUAACAUGUGAAAUACCUACUUUUAUGGGUGUUUGGAUUGACUUAAAAGUUGGUGAAAUAUACUUUUAAGUCAGUUUUUGACUUUUGGAAGUGUUUGACAAAUAUAAAAAUAACUUUAAACAAGUCAAAAAUGACUUAAAAUAAGUUAGAAAAUGUUUGACAAGAUUAAAAAGUGUAAAUAUCAUAUAUGACAUAUAUUAUAGUACUAUUUUCAAGCUAUAACAGUAGAUUUAGACUUUCAAGCUAUAGCAUUAAAAAUUUCAGGUUAUAACAAAAUUCACAAAAAAAAAAGAAAUGUUUUUAUUAAUUGGAAAAAUCUUUAAAAAAAAUAAAAAGAUAAACGAAAGUUUUAAAAAAACGGAAUUAAAAAUAAUAAAGAAAAAAACUGAAAUUGUGGCCUGUAAUUUAAUUUGAACUUAUUAUGGAUAAUUAAUGAUUAGCAUGAAAUAAGGAAUCCAAACAAAUUAACAAUUUUUUUUAUCCUUAAUGAUUAGCAUGAAAUAAGGGAUCCAAACAAAUUAACAAUUUUUUUUUAUCCUUAAUGAUUAGCAUGAAAUAAGGAAUCCAAACAAAUUAACAAUUUUUUUUAUCCUUAAUGAUUAGCAUGAAAUAAGGAAUCCAAACAAAUUAACAAUAUUUUUUAUCCUUAAUUCACUCAAAAUCAGUUAAAUUAAAAUAAAAAAUCAGAUCAUAUCCUUUUUUUCUUCAACGUUUCUCUCUCUUAAUUCUGCAGCCUAAAAAAUUACCAGAAUCGAGUAAUUGAAGGUUUUUUCAUUGAAAAAAAAUUGAUUUUAUUGAGAUGAACAAUUACGUAUCAAUUCUAAUUAAACAUGGUGGAAGAUGGGAUCAUUUGGGUUAGUAUUUAUUAUUGUUUAGUGUUGUUUUUAAAUUACAUUGAAAUGGGAAAAAAAUAUUAAACUGUAAAUCGUCUCUAUGUUUAAGAUAAUAUCAUUACUUGUUAACUGUUGUGAAAUGUAUAAUAUUUGUGAUUUUCUGUUUUUAUGAUUGUUUUGUGUAUUUUUUUCUUAAAGUAUAAAGUAAUUGUAUAUUAGAAUAAUGAAUUUAAUAGAAUUAUUGGAAAGAAAUUUGUAAGAAAAUGUGUUUCGUAAUAUGUAAAAAAAGUCAUUUGGAUUUUUGACGAAUUGUAUAACAAGUGUUUUAAGUUGGUAUUAAAUUAUAAAUUUUAGUGUGUUAUAUUAUUGGGNNNNNNNNNNNNNNNNNNNNNNNNNNNNNNNNNNNNNNNNNNNNNNNNNNNNNNNNNNNNNNNNNNNNNNNNNNNNNNNNNNNNNNNNNNNNNNNNNNNNNNNNNNNNNNNNNNNNNNNNNNNNNNNNNNNNNNNNNNNNNNNNNNNNNNNNNNNNNNNNNNNNNNNNNNNNNNNNNNNNNNNNNNNNNNNNNNNNNNNNNNNNNNNNNNNNNNNNNNNNNNNNNNNNNNNNNNNNNNNNNNNNNNNNNNNNNNNNNNNNNGAAAAAAAAGUUAUUUGAAAUUUUGACGAAUUGUAUGAUAAGUGUUUUAAGGUUGUAUUAAUUUUGAAAUUUUAUUGUUGACAUUUUUGUAUAAAUUUGUGUGACAUUAAUGAAGUAUUUUCGUAAAAAAAAUGUACAUAUUUGAUGUAUGAAAUUUGUAUUAAAAUAGUAUGAAAGUGUUUGAAAUGUACUAUUUGAAUGAUAUUUGUAUGAAAUGUUUUUUGAUUGAAUAUAAAAAUUAUUUUGUAAUGUUCUAUCUGUCUGAAUGAUAUUUGUAUUUCGAAUUGUUUGUUUAUAAUGUGAGAUUAAUUUAUAUUUUUUUUAAUGAAACAGGAAAUUAUGUCGAUUUUCAAAUGUAGGGGUUAUAUACGAUUCUUCUAGUCUUUAUAGUGGUCUAGUAGGUGCGAUAACAUUGCAACUUAUGAUUGUUGACACCCAAUUUUGACCCUCCCCGAUAAUAAUUAAUUUCUGAGUUUCUUAAUUUUCAAAUGAUUUAAAAUAAUUGACUUUAUAAAAUUUAAAAUAUUUUUCAAGUUAGUUUAAAUGGUUUGUCACUUUUAUAAUUUUCAAAUAAUAUGUGUAUACUUUUGAACUUUAUAAAUAUUACAAAAAUCGUCUACAAAAUAUUUUGUUUAAUUAAAUAUUUGGUUAGUUUGUUUAGUUAUUUAGUAGUUUGCUAUUUUGAGUUAAUUAGUUAGUUUAUAAUUAAGUUAAUUAUUAUAUAAUUAUGUGUCUAAUUAGUAUAUUUUAUGAAGGUUCUAAAAUUGUCUCAAAAAGAUUUUAGCUUUAUUUAAACAUUUGGUUAUUUAGUCGUUUAUAUUGUUAAAUUAAUUAGUUUAUAAUUAAAUUAAUUAUUUUAUUUCGUUAAGAUUAAGAAGCUCGUUAAUUAAUUAAUAUUAAUUCGUCUUAUUUAUUAUUAGCCAAGUUUAUUAAAUUUGAUCAAGUUGGCUAAGUCUUAAAUUUAAAUUGCCUACCACAAUAAUUCCUAGCCAACCCAAUAUUAUAAUUCCUCCCAGCCCAUUCCAACCAAGUAACCCAACAUACCCGGCCCAUCCUCCUUUAAUCCAUAACCUGACUCAUUUCCAAUUCACAAUUGAAACCCAAAAUUUCUCCAAACGUUCUUAAUUCCAAGUGGCGUGAAAACGACGACAAUGAUGGCCAGCUACACGACGUGAGACGAGCAGCAACUCAGUACUGUACCAGCAGUACUGUUCCAGCAGUCGGAGCAGGCACGCGGCUGUGCCCAUUUCCUCUUCCGGAAUGGGGAAAAAUUUGAGGGAAAAGGUGUCUAGCUCGAAUGGUGAAAGGAAUUAGGAUUUUGAAUUUAAAAAAAAAAUAGGCCUUAUUCUUGUGAAUUUGAUCCGUUUCCCCCUUAAGUUUGGAACCCUAAUAUUUCCCCUAUAUAUACUUCAUCUCCUUCAUUGUGAAAAGGGGGGCGGAAAAAAAAAAUAAAAAAAAAUAAAAUUUUGAGUUAGAAAAAAUAUAGAGAAUUUGCUAGUAUUAGAAAGGAAGAAAUACACCCAAAUCAUAUAGUUCCUAAAAUCACAGAAAGACUUCCUGUUCUUUCUUGCUUCUUCUUUGUUCGUUGGAGUUCUUGGAUUUACAUUCUAGUGGCAGUGAAGUCAUUUCCUUGCUCGCUCUGGUCUCAGUUUCGCUGCGCCAAAGAAGGUACUCGUCCCUUUGCUCUUUCGCUGUCCCUUUGAUUAUUUCGAGUUAAUAGUGAUUAGGCAGCUACGUGGAAUAGUAGAAUGCUGUUGGAUUAGUUUCUUGGAUUCGACAUGAGCCCGUCUUGUUUCGAAAAUAGUCGAGUCUCUGUUUUUGUUCUACCCUGAAUGGUUUAAAACUUAUUUGGAUUUUGAUAUUGAGCUUGUCUGUUGUGCGGCCUAAAUCAUUUAUUGUGAGUUUUAUCUUCUGUGUAGUUUUGGUCUUCGAUCGCUUCUCUAUUUGACUCGUAGCUAUAGAUUUCUGCUAAUGUUAACUUAUUAUCAUGUCAAGAGUAAGUCUGAGCUUUGUUGUCUUUUGCGAGCCUGGGUGUUGUCCUUAUUUGUUCAUUAUUUUGCUUUUCAUAAUAUUGUAUUGAGCUGGUAGUUUCUUCUAAUAUUUUGACCGAUUGUCUCAUAUUAUGCACUGCUUGAUUAAUAUAGGCAUGUCUUGUUUUUUUUUUCUUUUUGCCAUAAUUCUAUUCUAUCAAAAAUGGUUUCUUAAGCUUGAGUUUAGAUUCUUUUAAUUUGAUUAGAGCCUUUUGUUAAUAUCAAGUGUAGUAAAAAUAAUAAUAUAUAUAUAUAGAGAGAGAGAGAUUUGUUAGUGAGCAUGCUUAUUAAGACUUAGUUAAAAUUAAGAGUUUUUCAUUAUCAAUUCUGGACACUAUCUCGUUUAUGCUUUUCUUUUUAUUUAUUUAUCCAUUUAUAUUUGAUGUAGCAUAGUUUAUUGGCAUUUUUAAACUAUGUCCCUCCUUUGAUAUCUUUACACUCUUAUAGUAUACAUGUUUUGUAGUUUAGUGUUCAUUUAGUAAUAUUUCCUUCAAGAUUUCAAUUUAUUUUCUACAUGUAUACCGAGUCAUUGUGGGUCCACUGAUGCAUAAUGCUUGUAAGCUUUAAAAUCUAUCAUAAUGCUCUAUUUUAAUAUAUAUAUAAAUUAUUAUUUUUGCUUUAAGAAAGGGAUUAAUGAGCUAUACUUAUAUAUUUUAUUCAUUUGUGUUGCAUGUGACAUUCGUUAUGAGUCCUCACGGACUCUUUCCAUCGCCAAUUGCAUUGACGAGUUCUAUGUUCAAAUCCUUUCCUUUCAAGUUGGCCAGCCAAAUGGAAUCAAAGAACAAGUCCCCGGAGAUCGAUUGCAUACACUAGUAUACACCUAGUGUAUACGGAAAGGGGCCUAAAGGCCCCAUAUUCAGUUUUGUAUUUUGUUGUUUUGGGCCUAAGCUCUUAUUAUUUAAUUUUGUUAUUACUCCGUUAGAAUUUUAGGACAGGUGAAAAAUCGGGCCUAAGGCCCAAAGAGAAAUACUUCUUUAACGUUAGUACAGGACAGGUGCAGGUGACUCAAAUGGGCCGAAGGCCCAAUAUGAAAAUGGGCCCAAAUACUGGCCCAGGCGGACAGAAAAUCCAGACUUGGGCCCAAAUCUUCUUUCCUUAUCUAUUUAUUUGCUAUAACAUGUUUUUAUGUGCUUAUUUAAUCUUAAGGUUCCCUAAUCAAUGCCCCAAAGGAUACCCAUUCUGAAUUAAUCGCUUAAACUAAAGUAUUCAUUCUUUACUUGACUUAACAAAUAAAUGAACAAAUAAAUAAGUUUUACAAAAUAUUUCGCUUAGAUAAUAUUUCAAUAAUUUUCUUUUUAAAAUAGUUUUAACUACAAAAUAGUUCAAUUUUGCAAUUCAAACUAAGUUACAGUUAAUUUAGCCAAAUAAGUAAUCGUCGGAUAACCGCAUUAGCGGGUGUUCUAGGUGCUUUAAAACCCUUCCUAGAACACUAAUAUGGACCCUCGAACCCUUUUCAAGUUUUCACUAGAUUCCUGUUUUAGUCUUGUGAAAAUAAAUAGUUUUCUUGAUUUUUCUUAAAAAUUAAGUAGCGACUCUAAACCAGUCUAAAAAUAUUUUCCAAAUAAAACAAUGAUAGAUACUAAUAUAAAUGAUUUAGAGAUAUUAAGUGGGUAUGAAAUCUAUUUUGUAGAGUACUGUCUGAAUGAUAUUUGUAUGAAAAGAUAAUGACAAGUGUGUAUAAUUUUGUUAUUAUAAUGAAUUUUGUGGAUGAAAUUUGUAUGUUCUUUGAAUGACUAAUUGUUAUUUUUUAAUGAAACAGGAAAAUAUGUUGAUUUUCAGAUGGAGGGGAUUAUAUAUGAAUGUUCUAGUCUUUAUAGUGGUAUAGUAAGUGCGAUAACAUCGCUGCUUAUGAUAGAUAGUGAUAUUAAUGAUAUAGAGAUAAAAUAUAUACUUAAAAAAUCAUUAAGUAGUCCACAUUUAAGACCAGUUAUCGUUGCGAAUUCCUUGAUUCCAAAACGUAAUUCUGUACCAUUUAUUUUCACAACAAACAUGUCGUCUCUGACAUUUUCAGAUUCAAGAAUCAUCAAAUGCCGCAAUAGUUGACAUUGAAUCUUUAUGUUGUGCAUGUCAUAAAAUACACGAAAAGGUGUUUGUUCCAGAAAUUGUUGAAACCUCUCUUGCUCGAGGAAAACCAACAGAUCAACAAACACAUUCAUGUUUGUACAUGAAGACCAGUGUGUGUAUCUUCCUUGCCUAUAAAAUAAAAUUAUUUAUACUAAAUUAAAACAUACUUCAUACAAGUAUUAUUCAAGUUUCAUUCCAGUUGUAACUACAGUUUAAAGAUAGUUAUAAUUAAAUUAUAUCAUAUAAAUUAAAUAAAAAAUAAAUCAAAAUCAUAAAAACAUUGAUAAAAAAAAUAUAAAAGUAUGUUCACACAAGUAUUAUUCAUGUUUCAUCACAUGCAUAUAGAUAAAUUUUAGUAAUGCCUUAUACCAUAUUUAUAAAAAAAUUCACACCAAUUUUAUUCGAACAUCAUACCAUUUUCAUGUGCACUAUGGCAUUCAUCAAUCGACUUUCAUAAAUUUAUCGACAUACGCUAAAAAUAAUUUAACAAUUUUAAUACAUUAAUGGAUAAAUUGACAAAGAAACCUUCUAAAUAGGAAAAAUCCCAAUUUCAUAUAAAAGUUAUUCAAAAUUUAUACAAAAACAGAGUAAUUAAAUAAUUCAUACAAAUUGCAUACCUAGUUAAUAAUUCAUACCAUACACAAUGAAGAGACAAUCACAUCAAUGUUAAUAUACAAUUCAUACCAUUUGCAUAUCAAUAUUGUAUCAAAAUUCAUACAAUAUCCAUCAAUCAAACAUUAAAUUCAGAUUCAUACACAUUUUUUCAGAUUUCGAACAAUUUUUACACAAACAAGUAUUUCGAAAACAACAAUAAGCAUAAUGUGAUAUAAAAAAAAUCACUAUUUUGACUAAUGUGAAAAUAAAUUAAAUAUAGUACUUAUCCUAACAACUUUUUUUGUGUUUUUUGGAUGUUGAUAUUUUUGAUUUCUUUUUUUUUUUGUUCUUCUUGUUGAUGGUUUUGAAGAUUGAGCAACUUCUACAUUUGUUGUUUUUUUUUUAUCUUUUUCUUUUUGAUUUCACUAGCAAAAUCAGAAUCGUAAUCAAAAGGGGUUUCAAUAAUUUUCCCCUUCCUCUUCUUCCCCUUUUGAUUUGCCUGGAUCGCCCUUUUCUUUGCUUCAUCUUUUUUCUCUUUUCGAUCCUUCAACUGAGAUGAACCACCCGUUGCCUGAUUUUCAAUAUUCGCUGGAUUUUCAACAAAUUUAAAGAAGGGGGGGGAUUGAGUUAAUAUAUUGAAAGUUGGAGCAUGAACUUCAUCAGUAGAAGUUCCUUCAACCAAUCUGGAACUCUUUCAAGGCGUUUCAAUGGGUUUCUUAGACAUGAUUUUGUUGAAAAACUUAAUUGGACGGACGAUUGUGAAAAUGGUGUAAUUGGCUGGUGAGAAAAAUGGGAGAGACAAGGUGAAAGUGGGGCAGUGGGGGUGAUGGCGUGUAGAUUUGAAUAGGUGUGGGUGGAGGGUGUUCGGAUUGAGGUAUAGGAGGUUUGGAGUGUAACAUUAAACAAGGAAGUCUAAUCUAUGUAAAUCCCUUAUUAUGUGUAACUGAUGAUUUCAGUUUUAAAAAAGGAAUUGAAAUCAAAUUCAUUAAAUAUUAUUAAUUAAUAAUAUAAAAAUAUAAACAGAUUAAUCAUUUAUUAAAUAAAUUGAAAUUGAUUUUUAAAUUAAAUUGAUAUGUCAUAGCCCGUAAAUAAACUGUUAUAAGUAAGAAUUGUUUAAAAGUAUGUUUAAAACCCGUAAAAUUUACUACUUAGUUAUAAAUGACCCAAAAGUAGGCUUCCGACUACUUUUUAUUUUUUUGACUUAAAAGUCAUUUAAAUUUGACUUUUUAUUUUUUACUUGAAAACUAUUUUUUAAAGCCAAUCCAACAUAGGCUCUAACUCUUUGCCCUUUUACUUCUUCUAAAUUCUGGGUUUGAGUCAAUUUUAUGAUAAUAUAUAUCAGGGGAAACUAUAUAAAUGUGCCACAAAAUAAUUACAACUUCAUAGUUCAAUUCAAACUAAUUCAGCAAAUACCCAUUAAUAAAAAAAUAAAGGGAAAAUUGUAUGAAAUAACAAACUAUUAAUUAAAAUUAAAUGCUAUAGCCAUUGUUUCUUUUAUUUAUAAUUCGCAGCAAACAUUCCAUGUUUUUUGUCAUUCCAUUUGUAUACCGAAAUAUACAAAUAAAGGACCCAUUUGUAUACCGAAAUAUAUACAAAUGCAGGACCCAUUUGUAUACCAAAAUAUACAAAUAGACUGAAAUAUACAAAUGCAAGAUCCAUUUGUAUACCAAAAUAUACAAAUGCAUGACCCAUUUGUAUACCAAAAUAUACAAAUGCAUGACCCAUUUGUAUACCAAAAUAUACAAAUGCAUGACCCAUUUGUAUACCAAAAUAUACAAAUGCAUGACCCAUUUGUAUACCAAAAUAUACGGACCCAUUUGUAUACAUAAAUAUUCAAAUAGACUCAAAUACAUAUUUUUUAUGUAAAUGUAUACCGAAAUAUACAGAUUAAUAGUAAUAACAAAUAUAAAGUUUGCUAUGGAGCACAAUUAUACAAACUAUAACUAUAACAUACAAAUAUAUUUUUUAUAUUUGUUAAACCUAAAAUUUACUCAAAAAUAAAUUACAGUCCAUACCGCCACUUUAGUUUAGGCCGAAUAUACUCCCUCUUUGGUUUAGGUCGAAUGUGUGCGGUUUCCUUUAAAUUUAGGCGUAAUUUUAACCUAACGUUUUAUUAAUUAUUUUAUUUUCUCUUUUAUUUUUUUCUCAUUUAUUAUUUUUAUUCUUUUUUCCAUAUUAUCCUUUAUUAGAGAUACUCUUGGGUAAUAGUUUUUUAUUUCUUUCUUCCCUUUUUUGGGUUAGUUUAUCGUCUUUUUAUUUUUUUCUUUCUUUCUAUAUUUUUACCUUUUUUAUGGAAAUAAAAUAAAUUACUUUUGUCCUUUUCUUAUUUAUUAUUUUUAUUUACUCUUUUAUUCUUUUAUUCUUUUUUUCAUAUUAUCCUUUAUUCUCUUGAUUUCUGCUUAGGAAUAUCAAAUGCGAAUUGUUCGCAAAAUUUUCCUAAUUGUUGUCUUUCAUUUAGACGAUGUUUCUUGAUCUGUUGAUUCACAAUUUUACAGAUAGUAUUGUACAUCAACAUUCUAUGGACAUUUGUAUAAAUAUGUCUAUCAGUAUAACCAUCUAUGUUUCCUUCAUAGAUCUCCUUGCCAUUAUAACUAUUAGUUAUAAUAUUAUCCUUUAUUAGAGAUACCAUUUGAUAAUAUUUUUAUAUUUAUUUCUUCGUUCUCCUUUUUAUUUAUUUUCCUUAAUAUAUAGUACAAAUAUUUUGGCCAGUACAUUAUUCUUUAUCCAUUUUAUGUACAUUAAGCAAUACGUGAAGUAACUCCUGAUCUAUGAGUAAAAGUAAUAUCGAUGUGCAAGUGAAAUAAUAUUGUGUUCCAUCUACUUUCGAUUAAAAAUAUGAGGACAUCCAUCAAAGAUAAUGAGAAAUAGUAUACCAUGAUAAUUCGAUGUAUUUUACUUUUUAAACCGUUGAAAAAAAAUAACAUAUUUCUUUAAUAAGAAAUAACUUAUCUUUGAAAAGUUUCUUUUAUCCCUAAUAAUAAAAGAAUUUAUAGUCGCGUAAGUGGUAAGAAAAGGUUUAUUGUUUUUGUUAAAUUUAUGGUAAUGACUCUAGGCGGCUCUUAUCAUUUAAAAAUGAUAGUUGUAUGAUGUGACAUGCUAUUCUUAGACUUUCACAACCUCUAAUUAAUUUCAUUUGUUUUUCAAAUAAUUCGAUAGAGUCUGCUAACAAGUUUUAUAUAAUCUUUCAAUUCUCUAAUUUCUUCCACAAAAUUGCAGACUAUUCAACUCUUAUUCCCUAUUUAAACCCAUCCAACUAUUCUUUGAUUCUCACCAAAACACAAAAUGGAAUCCUUAAUUAUUUGUUUCCUUACCUUUGCUUUAUUAUUUCACUCAUCAAAAGCUCAAAACUCUCCCCAAGAUUAUCUUAACCCUCACAAUGAAGCUCGAAGACAAGUUGGUGUCGGUCCUAUGGCAUGGGACAAUAGGCUAGCAGCCUUUGCCCAAAAUUAUGCCAAUCAAAGAAUUGGGGACUGUAGGAUGCAACACUCUGGUGGCCCUUACGGUGAAAACCUAGCUGCCGGUUUCCCCCAGCUCAACGCGGCUGGUGCAGUGAAGAUGUGGGUGGACGAGAAGCAAUGGUACGAUUAUAAUUCGAAUUCUUGUCAACCUGGUAAAGUAUGUGGCCACUAUACUCAAGUAGUCUGGCGUAACUCAGUACGUCUUGGUUGUGCUAGGGUCCGAUGCAACAACGGGUGGGAUUUUAUAACUUGCAAUUAUGAUCCACCAGGUAACUGGAUCGGUCAACGUCCUUUCGGUGAUCUUGAAGAGCAACCAGACUUUGAUUUCAAAUUGGAACUUCCAACUGAUGAACAUGAAUAAAUUAAUUAACUGGAGUUUAGGUGAAAAUAUGGGUCGAUCGUUUGAAUAAUUGCUUUGUUGGUUUAUUUUUACUGCUCUUCUUGUUUUACAAUUUGGUGUUACGCGUGUGGUGUACGUGUGCACCUGUUUAACGAGUAAUUUCCCUGGAUAGUCACCCAUGUUUGGAAAAUUACCUUGGAAUAUCAUUUAUGUUUGUUUUAGGACCACAAUAUCACCCAACUUUACCUUUUUUCCUUAAAAUAUACUUACACAAAAAAAACAUUAUCUCUCUCCUAAUAGGAUGCCAUGUCACAUUAUUCUUUUUUCAUUAUUAACAUUUUUUUUAAAAAAAUUUAGACAACCCAUAUUACCUAGUAAAAAAAAAUUACAUAGCCCAAAAAUUUCUACCCUAGUUCUAGGGGAUUAGGCGGCAAAUCCAAAUUUGAGCUCCUCCGAUUCUUCAAGAAAAUAUGUGGCUUCCUCCGAUUUUUCAAGCGAGAUAAUGUUUUUAUAUGGACACUAAUGGGCAAUGGCACCUUUUUGUUGAGUCCGGAGCCAAAAGUGUAACUUUUUUUCUUUAAAAAACAAAAACNNNNNNNNNNNNNNNNNNNNNNNNNNNNNNNNNNNNNNNNNNNNNNNNNNNNNNNNNNNNNNNNNNNNNNNNNNNNNNNNNNNNNNNNNNNNNNNNNNNNNNNNNNNNNNNNNNNNNNNNNNNNNNNNNNNNNNNNNNNNNNNNNNNNNNNNNNNNNNNNNNNNNNNNNNNNNNNNNNNNNNNNNNNNNNNNNNNNNNNNNNNNNNNNNNNNNNNNNNNNNNNNNNNNNNNNNNNNNNNNNNNNNNNNNNNNNNNNNNNNNNNNNNNNNNNNNNNNNNNNNNNNNNNNNNNNNNNNNNNNNNNNNNNNNNNNNNNNNNNNNNNNNNNNNNNNNNNNNNNNNNNNNNNNNNNNNNNNNNNNNNNNNNNNNNNNNNNNNNNNNNNNNNNNNNNNNNNNNNNNNNNNNNNNNNNNNNNNNNNNNNNNNNNNNNNNNNNNNNNNNNNNNNNNNNNNNNNNNNNNNNNNNNNNNNNNNNNNNNNNNNNNNNNNNNNNNNNNNNNNNNNNNNNNNNNNNNNNNNNNNNNNNNNNNNNNNNNNNNNNAAAUUCUUUAAAAACAUUAUAUCCUUUGUAGUUUGACAAUAUGGUUACCUUAUUACUCUAAUGAAUUAAAAUAUCAACAAAAAGGGAGUCCGAAGCUAAAAGGGUCAUUUUUUUCCUUCAAAAAACAAAAACGGCACAUAAAAAAAAAUUAACCAAAAGGGCAAAAUCGCUCCUGACGGAGCGAUUUUGUUCUGACAAAAAUUGACGCCGCUCCGCUAAAAGAAAUAAAAAUUGUUGCCGAUUUUCUCAAAAAAAUAUUUUUUCUUUAGCAGUGAUUUUGUUUAAGAAAUUAUUUUUUUAAAAAAAAAAUCCCUACUCUUGCAGAGAAUUUAAUAAAAAACAAAUAAAAUUGAAGCCAGCGAUUUUCAUAAAAAGCUUUUUUUUAAAAUCUUUACCCUUUCAGAGAAUUAAAUGAAAAUUUUUUUAAAAAAUAAAACUGAAAAUCGCUGCUUCGGCAUCGAUUUUUUCUUUAAAAAACUUGGUUUUUUUUUUUAAAAUGGCUGCCGUUGGAAAUUUAUGUAAUUUAAAACUUGUUCUUUAUGUUUUUUUUAAUUCCUUAACAAAAAAUCGCUGCUAUAGCAGCGAUUUCACUUUNNNNNNNNNNNNNNNNNNNNNNNNNNNNNNNNNNNNNNNNNNNNNNNNNNNNNNNNNNNNNNNNNNNNNNNNNNNNNNNNNNNNNNNNNNNNNNNNNNNNNNNNNNNNNNNNNNNNNNNNNNNNNNNNNNNNNNNNNNNNNNNNNNNNNNNNNNNNNNNNNNNNNNNNNNNNNNNNNNNNNNNNNNNNNNNNNNNNNNNNNNNNNNNNNNNNNNNNNNNNNNNNNNNNNNNNNNNNNNNNNNNNNNNNNNNNNNNNNNNNNNAAAAAAAUGACCCUUUUAGCUUCGGACUCCCUUUUUGUUGAUAUUUUAAUUCAUUAGAGUAAUAAGGUAACCAUAUUGUCAAACUACAAAGGAUAUAAUGUUUUUAAAGAAUUUUCAAAAAUGUUAAUAAUAAAAAAGGAAUUAAAAAAAUGUUAAUAAUAAAAAAGGAAUGAUGUGACAUGGCAUCCUAUUAGGAGAGAGAUAAUAUUUUUUUUGUGUCAAGUAUAUUUUGAGGAAAAGAGGUAAAGUUGGAUGAUAUUGUGGUCCUAAAACAAACAUAAGUGAUAUUCUUAGGUAAUUUCCCAAACAUGGGUGACUAUCCAGGGAAAUUACUCCCUGUUUAAUUGAAUAAAUAAAAUUUGGAAAGUUGAUGAGUAACUAUAAAUUAUAAUUCUAGACUCAAAGAGUUAUAUUGAACUUUGCUUAAAUAAGACAAUUACUACUCCUUCCUUCCGUUCGUUUUUAAUUUUCAUGUUGUAUUUUUAAAAAAUCAAUUUGAUUAAUUUUCAAAGUUAAAUUUGAGUAUAUUAAUUCGAUAAUUUAAACAAAAAAUUUAGAUAUUCAAAAACUAUUCGAAAAAUACUAUAAAUUGCAGUUUUUUGCAUAUCCAUAUGAUGAAAAAAAUAUAUCAUAAAAUGUUAGUCAAAGUUCUUAUAGUUUGACUCUAAAAAAAGAAACCAUGACAAUUAAAAGUGGACGGAGAAAAUAUUAUAGUCUAUACUUACAGAAGUUUGAUUAUUUACUCUUUUUUUUAAAGACUUUAUUUUACAAAACUAGCAUUUUAGGCAAGUUACAACUUACAACUAAAGCUUGACAAGCUGAACUUUGUGGGUAAGUUUACUUACAUUUGUUCUAGUAACUACUAAGGAAAGAAAAAUGGGUUGACUGCAUGCGUAACGGGUGGAUAUAGUGAUAUACUCACCACUAUACUCAGAGGCGAAUCUAAUAUUUCAAGACUUUGGAUGCACCAAUAUUACCUUAGCUCAAAUAUGAGUUAUAAGAGAAACUUACAAUAAAAACAGUGAAAUAAACAUUCUGGUUGGAGUCAAACCCAGGUCUCGCAGGUGGAUCUUCUAGCUUGUACCAGUAGCACAAUGACUCUUCUAUGCUUUUCAUGGGUUCACUGUUAAUUAUAUUCUAAUUUCUGUUAGUUUCUCAAGAUAGAUAUACAUAUAUAUAUGAUUUUUUUCCAAAGUUAACUGGUGCACGUGCACCCCUACCUAGAGGGGUGGGUCCGCCUCUGUACAAGAGUCCGGAGCCAAAAGGGCAACAAUUUUUUUUGAAAAUUCUAAAAGAGCAACAAAAUUAUUUAUCAAAUCAAAAGGACAACAAAUUUAAACACCGUCUAAAUCAGGAUUUUCUUCGCAAGGUGCGGAUACCCAUGCGACUUGUAAGGCGCAAACAACUUUUAGCCUUGUAAGGCUCAGCCGCCAUGUAAGGCGCAUGAAAUCUGCGCUUUGCAACCUUUUUCUAAUUUUUUUUUUUUUUUGGUUUUGUGAAUUGGCUAGGCUUUUAUUUUUAUUUUAUUUUUUAAAAUCAAGUAGGCCAUAAGGCAAUUUCAAUAAACAAAAGGCGGUCAUCUAUUUUAUUUAUUGUUCUUGAAUACCAAAUAAAACUAAUAAAAGCUCUUUCUUUUAAUUAUCAUAAUUGUAUCAAGCAUCUAAAACCCAUGUUUCUCAUUUUUUAUUGGUCUAUAGUUUUCUCUAGAUAAACUUUUGCUAUAUAUGCAAUUAAAAUAGCCAAUUUUUUAAAAUGGUUAAUACAAAAUCUGCACAAAAUGACGUGUAGACUAAUAUCGUCAAAGCCAGUUAGAUUUGGGGAGUUAUAUUAGUCGACACGUCAUUUUGUGCGAUUAUAAAUCUCAUAUUUUAAAAAAGAACUAUGUGAAUAUUUUUUUUGACAGAUAUGAUAGCCUAAACAAUAACUUUAUACCCCUUUAAUGUAUGACGUAAAGCAGAUUUUAAAAAAAUGGAAAAUCAUUUUCACACUCCAAUUUUGUUUUAAAAAUCAAUCCCCCCCCAUCCCAAAAAAAAACCUUUAUCCUAUGCAAUAUCUAUUUUACACUUGCCACUUUCAACAAUUAAUCUAGUAUCUUUUUAUAUUAUAUAUAAUAUUUAUGUUCUUAAUUUAGGUAUUUAUAUUAUCGUGCUUCUGACCAUGUGUUUAUUGUACAAAAUAAAAAUAAAAAAAGGAUUAAGCUGUUUAGUUGGAGUAUAAUACAUCUGCAUAAGUUUCCCAUAACUUAAAGGCGGCUUUUACAUUUCUGAAGAGAAAAAAAAAGUAGUUGCAACAUCACUUUAUGAGGCUUAACUUUAGAUUAGUGUUUAAACAAAAUGGCUAGUGGUAGUAUUCAUGGUAAAAAAUAGUGGUAUUAUUCAUGGUGAAAAGUAAUAUCAUAUUCAUAAUAUAUUUAAUUUAAAAGAUCAAACAGUUAUUUCUAAAAAAAAUUUUAAUCCUUAAUUUAAAAGGCAGGUCAAUUAGCAUCUCAUGUUAGCAUAAUCCAGAGAAAGGGCCACAAAAUUAAAGUCAAGUUCAUAUAUAGAAAUUAAAAUAACUCCUUGUUGGUUCGCUGUCUUGUUUCUGUUUCCAUGUUUCAACUAUAACAUACAUCUUCUCCCUCUCUCUUUCAAUUUGUUUGUUUAACUUUUCUUUUUAAUUUGUUUUAAAAUGUAGUAUUAUAUUUAUCCCUUUUUCAUAAUUUCACUCUCAAAAGUACUUUCUAAAAAAGACUAUUCAGACACAAUUUAUUUAUUAAAAAAUAUUUUUUCAAAUGAAUUAGCCAAACAUAAAUUGUUUUUUUUUUCAAAAACUAUUGUUCUGAAAUGUUUUUUUUUUUUUAAAAAAAAGUGUUUCUAAAAAUAAGCCGUUUUUAGCACUAUGUCAAAUAGGCUUUGAGACCAAAGAUCAAAUGACAUUUUGAUACAUUUUAUGUAUCUUUAAUAGGACUACAAAAUUCAGUAAUUAGUCUUUUUUACUUUUUAAACAUUGCAUCAAAUUAAAAUCAGACAAAUAAAUUAAAAUGAAAAAAUAGCUAACGUGUAUGACUUUUUGUGAAAAUUAUUUUUUUACUAAUAAAACAGAAAAGUGUACUAAUUUAAUACUGUUGUUGAAACAAUUAACCAAAUGACUAGUGGUACCUGUUAUCACUUAAAAACAAAUAGUUGCAUGAUGUGGCAUGUCAUUCUUUUACUUUCACAACCUAAAUCUUAUAUUUCCCCAUAUUUUAGUUUUUGAUAUUUAUAUUGAUAGUUGAUUAAAUACGAAUUAAAAGUUUUAUUUAAGGAUUUAUAGUACUAGCUUCCUAGUAAAUUUUGACUUAGGACCCAAUAAAAUUCUAACUCAAGACUCUAGUUGAAGAUGAAGAAUUACUUAACGACUCUUAUUGCUUCACCGAAUAAUUAAUCUCAUAUGCUUUUCAAAUAACCCAAUAGAGUCUACUAACAAGUAACUUUUCAAUUCUUUAAUUAAAUUUUCUACCAUAAAUUGCAAACUAUUCAACUCUUGUUCCCUAUUUAAACCAACCCAAACUAUUCCUUAAUUCUCACCAAAACACAAAAAUGGGAUACUCCAAUAUUACCUUAUUAAUUGUUUGUUUCAUUACCUUUGCUAUAUUUCCCUUUAUAUCCCAAGUUCAAAAUUCUCCCCAAGAUUAUCUUAACGCUCAUAAUGCAGCUCGUAGACAAGUUGGUGUCGGCCCUAUGACAUGGGACAACAGGCUAGCUGCCUAUGCCAAAUUAUGCUAAUCAAGAAUGGGGGACUGCAGGAUGCAACAUUCAAGUGGGCCCUACGGCGAAAACCUAGCUGCGGCUUUCCCGCGCUCAACGUGGGUGGUGCCGUGAAGAUGUGGGUCGAUGAGAAGCAAUGGUACCAUUAUAAUUCAAAUACUUGUCAAGCUGGUAAAGUAUGUGGACACUAUACUCAAGUGGUCUGGCGUAACUCGAUACAUCUUGGUUGUGCUAGGGUUAGAUGCAACAAUGGGUGGUAUUUUAUAACUUGCAAUUAUGAUCCACCAGGUAAUUGGAAGGGUCAACGUCCUUACGGUGAUCAUGAAUAACAACCAGACUUUGAUUCCAAAUUGGAACUUCCAACUGAAUAAAUUAAGCUUCAUGUAUUAAUUAAGGAAAAUAAAUCCAGUAGUACUAUGCUAUGCAUGCAGUAACUGGAAUUUAAAUGAAAAUAUGGAUCUAAAUUGAUAUCCAUAUGGAUCGUUUAAAUAUUUGCUUCUUACUUUAAUUAAUUUUAUUGUUAAUCUUUUUUACAGAAUGUUGUUAUAUUGAGUGUACCGUAAGUGUACGUGUAUUGAAUAAAUAAAAUGUGUAUAGUUGAUGAGUAAACUGUGUUAUAAACUAUAGUUAUAUACUGACAUAAUUAAUUGCCACAUAAUUCCCUUUUGAACGUUUCACAAGAAAAUCAAGUUUUCUUUAAUCUUUUUUUUAACUAAUUAAUUACCUUUAUCUCUCUUCAGUGAAUAUACACCCUUAAUUUUAUUUUAUUUUUAAAUAAGAAUGAGUUAAUUUUAUUGAUAUUUGAACAAUAAUCACGUGUUUGAUAUAUCUUCAAAUUUAUAACAAAAUAAAUCUUGUCCAUCAGAUUAUACAAGAGACACGUGUAAAUAAUUUAAGGCCCCACUGCGGGAACGGGAGAGAUCAACCACUGGAGAGGAGCCGGGUCUGGUAUUUUAAUUUAUAGCUUGCUUUUAUAAUCCAUCAGGUAAUUUGAAAGAUCAACGUCCAUACCAUACCAUGAUCUAGACGAGCAACCAGACUUUGAUUCCAUAUUGGAACUUCAAACUGAUCAUGAAUAAAUUAAAUUAAGCUUUUCAUAUAUUAAUUAAGGAAAAUAAUUCCAGUCAAGUAACUGGAGUUUAUAUGCAUGGACUAAUUAAUAUUUUUUGUUAUUCUUGUUUAUGGGGGUGCAGAGGCACAUGUUUGAUUGAAUAAAUAAAACAUGUAAAGUUGAUGUCUUUUGUUUAGUGAAUUAAGUAAUAUCCAUUAAUUUUAACUUAUGCUCCCAUUAAUCUAACCAAUAACUUAGAGAAAAUAGAGAAGAGCCGGAUCCAAAUUCAAAUAAUUUAUCCUCCCAUCUCAUAUAAUUAGCUGUUAAGAAUCAAUGAAUAAAAAGUAUUUUUUUUUCUCAUUUAAUUGUAUAUCUGUUCAAUGAGCAUACGUCCAAUUUAGGAAUAAGACGAAGGUAAUUUUAUUGAUAUUUGAGCAAUAAUCACUUGCUUGAUAUAUCUUCAAAUUUAUAUAAUUUGUACGAUAUGUAUCACUUGUCUUAUAUGAUUUUAUUGAUAUUUGAACAUACACCUGCGGCCUAAUUCUUGGAUUAGGUGGGGUUGGCCAUCUCAAAUAAAGGGCCAGCCCAUUAAAUUUUUUGACCCACAAGAUCUGGGCUGAAUAGGGUUGGGCUAGCCCGACAACUUUACCCUUCAUCUUUACAAUUUGUACUUUAAUCAUAUGAAAUAAGGGAUCAUUUUAUUUUAUUUUAUAUAAAUUCAAUUUAAAUCAAAUAAGUUACACUUUUUACCUUUUAGACCAUUCUAAAAAGAAUAACAAAGAAAUAACUUAUCUUUAAAAAGUUUCUUUUAUCCAUGAUAAAAGAAUUUAAAUGGCCAAAUAGAGUUUUUUGUUUUUGUUAAAUUUAUGGUAAUGACUCGAGGCGGCUCUUAUCAUUUUUUAAAUGAUAUACAGUUGCAUGAUGUGACAUGUUAUUCUUAGACUUUCAAAACCUCUAAUUAAUUUCAUUUGUUUUUCAAAUAAUCCGAUAGAGUCUGCAUGCUAACAAGCUAUAACCUUUCAAUUCUUUAUUUUCAGACUAGCUAUUUAAUUAACCCAUCAAACUAUUCUUUGAUUCUCACCAAAACACAAAAUGGGAUACUCCAAUAUUGCCUUAAUCAUUUGUUUCCUUAGCUUUGCUAUAAUAUUUCACUCAUCACAAGCUCAAAACUCUCCCCAAGAUUAUCUUAACCCUCACAAUGAAGCUCGUAGACAAGUUGGUGUCAGUCCUAUGACAUGGGACAAUAGGCUAGCAGCCUUUGCCCAAAAUUAUGCCAAUCAAAGAGCUGGGGACUGUAGGAUGCACUACAACAUUUUAUGUCUACAAUCACCCUAGAAAAGUGUGGCCUAAACUAUGAAAAAGUGUGGCCUUUGAUAAAAGGCCACACUUUUUGACUUUAAGCCACACUUUUCCAAGGGUGGCCGAAAGAGCCGUAACCUUAGAGUUUAGGUAACACUUUUCAAGUGUUGCCUUAUCAGCUACGCUUAAAAGCGUAGCCUAAAAGGCAGAAAGGCAACGCUUUCCAGUACCUCCAAUAGCAACAUUUCUAUCUCAUACAACUACACUUUCAAACGUGGCCUUUCUUCCUCAUUACCCACGAUUUUAAAGUGUUGCCUUUUCUAUCUAAUGCAUGACAACACUUUGAAGUGUAGUCCUUGCCCAUGUGCAUACCACAAUUUACAGUUCUAUGGCUACACUUUUAAGUGUGGUUAUAUCAUUUUGGCUAUAAAAUAUUUAUAUGCCACAAUUUCUAAUUAAAAAACACCAAUAUUGUUUUGCAAUAAAUAAUCUCAAGCAUCAAAUUACCUAAUAAGUAAUUAAAAUAUAUAGAUUUGCAAUAAAUUUCAAAAGAUAGUAUGUCUUGUGUUGUACAUAUAUACACAUACUUAUAAAGCAAUAUUCUAAAUAUGUGUAAACAAUAGUUUAAAAAGUAGUCUUACAAUAGUUCAAUAUAUUCUAGCAAUGAAUAUAUUUCACAAAAUCAAACAUAGUGUAUUCAAAGUUUUACAAUAGUUCAAAAACUCUUCAUCAUCCACUUCAAUGAGAUCAAAUUGACUUGUGGCGACCCUUCAAAUUUGAUCACCUCCAUUUCCCUACACAUUUAAAAUGUACAACAAAUCAGAUUGCAGCAGUUAUAGAAGAGUCAAGAAGUUCCAGAUUGCAGAUUGCAGACUGCAGAUUUUUUGAAUUCCAGAUUGCAGAUUGUUGCAGAUUACAGUUCCAGGUUCCAGAUUCCAGAUUGCAUAUUGCAUAUUACAGUUCCAGAUUAUUGGUUUCAGAUUACAGUUUACAAAUCAAAAUUUAACGGCCAAAAAACUUUUAGAAUUUCGUAGUCCACUUCAGGCCAAAGAACAGGGGCAGCAGGAGAAAAAUCCCAAGAUAGUUUAAUGCAGACAGGUAAAUCAGGAUAGCAGUCGCACAAAACAAAGCAUGGAAAAAGAGGAAAUUCAACACCAAACAACAUCAAAGUGUACGCUUUUUUGAUCAAUGGAACCUGGGAUAUCGAAAAGAUCAUUAAAACUGCACCUUCGGAUCUUGUCGCGACCAUUCUUGCGACUCAAAUUCACUACCAGCCCAUGGUUUUUGAUCAACCAAUAUGGAAGCCCAAUGCAAAUGGAGAAUUCACUUGCUCGUCAACCUGGGAUCAAAUUAGAGAGAAAAGAAACCAAAGUUUCUACUGUCACAACCUGUCAACUAUUUAUGCUGCUAUAAACAAGGAAAGACACAUUGUUUAAAUAGUUCUUUCACAGUAAGUGGGAAGACACACUUUUUCUCGAUUGGACCUCCACUACUCAUGAAACAACAGACAAAUGAUCAUGAGAUUCUCUUUAUAGAAUUCCAUGGAAAAACAAGAAGACCGAGUUGAUGGAUGAUCAAGCUUAGCCCAAAGGAUAAAAUGUAUAACAUGGAGAAGGAAAGCCCUUAAAACAUGCAAAAAGUAUACCUUUGCCAAAAUAUACUUCUCCUUUUCAUGAAAGGCAUCUUUGGGGCUUGGCUUGGAAGCAGAUUGAAUGGCAUCAACAUUUGUUAAUCUGAAUGAAUUAAUCAUUUUACAUGAGUUAACACCAACAGAACAUGCAUGAGCUAACACAAACAGAACAUAGUUUCUAAAAAUAUUUGAGCUAAAUGCAUAUUAUAUCAUCAUGGCACAUGGGAACAUUUUCUAUCCGAUAAUGUGUACUAAAUAGAUAGGCUGACCCAGGUAGAAUGUCAAAUUGUAAUGGAAAAAUAGAUUGUAUAUUGACUAGUUCAAUUGAAGAAUAAAUAGAAGCGUGGAAAUAAUCCUGGGAACUGUUAAGUUGGAAUUUUGUGUUCUUUGAUAUCUCUCAACAGUUCAUCUUUUCUUGGCUGGGAGAGGACUUUUCACAUUAAAUCUGAGCCCAAAUAUCAAUAAACACACAAGAUCUAUAGAAAUUUAUACCCAUGCAACAAUGACUUUCUUGUAUAUAUUAUCAACUAAGGGUACAUACCCGUCACUUGGAAGUUGAAGCAGCUCCUCCCACACCGAGUUACAAUAAGAAUUACCCAAUGUGCGGAAUAGAUCCAAGAUGGUAGGCUCCCAAACCCUGACAUCUAAUAAUAUGGACCUUACCUACAAGUGAUAAGUAUCUCAAAUAUCAAUCAACUCAACAGGCCCAUAGAUCUUUCAUUUUGUUACUUUCUAGGGGCAUCAACUGAAAAUAAGUUAUACUUCAAAAUACAUUUCCAAAAAAGAUCCAAUAGCUACUAACCUUCCAUAAUGAAUAGUGCAUUGUCAUGAAAGUAAUGAAAAUACUCAUAGUCUCAAAUAUAAAUGCAUGUGGACCAGUACAAAAUUGAAUAAACACCGUGAACUAAAUGGAAUUAAUCUUUUUUUUAAGAACAAGGCAGAUGUUUGUAGACAAGUGGAACAAAGAAAUUUCAACAUGGAUAAAGAUAUACCUUUGAGAUAUGAACACCAAGGUUCCAAUGAAUGCCCGAGCAUUCUAUACAAAUUAGGAUGCCAAGAUUUAGAGAAGCCCAAUCAGGUUCUGAAGCACCACAAGUAUAGCACUUGUCAUUUCCAGGAACUUCUCUGAGAAUCUUAGAAACAGAAUCAGGUUGAUUGACUCUUACGGAAGCUAGGGCAUUUUCAUCAUUAACAGAUCCUUGAACAUUCAAAGAACCAGCAUAGGUAUUGUUGCUACUAACAAUGUCAUUUUAGUUAAGGUCGCAAGUAUCACCACAGUUGAAGCAUAUAGAUUUUAGUUAAACUCGUCUCUUUCGUUUCUAGUCUUGGUCGAGUUGGUUCAUUAAAUGGCUAGUUAUUAGGAAUUUGGAUAUGCAGAUAGAUAUAACAUAGUUUGUGCAGGAAUAGAAUAUUAUGCUGUCUGGUGCUAUAUUUAUACCCUUUUAAAGUUAAAAAUAAUUCAAUAAGUAUUGUUCUGUGACAGUAAGCUAGGGCCAGUUCACUGUCAAUGUGAAACCUAUAAAGAUUUCAGAUGAUCAAUUCACAUUCUUUAUUAAUUUCUAUCAUCAUAUUCCUAAGGCACAAUAUCUAAUGUCUCGCACAAUGAAAGAGAUAAACAGAGCAUAGAUUAUUUAAAACCAUGUAAUGAUGCAUAUGAAAUUAAAUUUGAUCCUAUUAAUUAUUGUAUCAACAUUCAAAGACAAUGCUUGGUAAAUCAAGUAAUCACCUUAAGCUUCAACUUAAAAACUUGAUCAAGAUGUUAACUACAUAUUCAUAUGCAGUAAUGACAAGUAACAGUGGUAAGAGUUCCUAUGAAAUGUGUUAUAAGACAUACUAGAGGCUCCCAGAUACAACAAACAGUGAGGUGGAAGAAACUUCAAUUCGAAAAGCUCUAUCUUACUGUGUUACAAAAGAUUUUACCUCAUCUUUUUAAUCUGUUGUAGCUUUGCCUCGUCUUGUUAUUAAUGUUGUUUGCAUCAUAUUCUUAAUCUGCACACAUCACCUUUAUUGUAUGACCUGCUUAAGAAUUCGCCAUGUUUAACUCAGUUUAUACAGCUUUUUCUGAGAAAAAUCAGAAAAUAAUUGAUAUGUGUGCCGAACUUUGAGUAAAAGAAGAAGCAACCCAAAAAAUUGAUUGUUACAAACAAAUAAAGUGCUGUAAAAAUUCACCAACACAAAGAGCUAAAAUAAACACCAAGAUAGAAAUAUAAAGCAAGUUCAAAAAUGUUUAACAGAGGAAGAAGCUGAUGAAAUUUGAGACUCACAAUAGGGUAAAAUGAAAUUGUGAAAGAGAAGAGAAAGAGAGAAAUAAGAAUGACAGGAACUGAAGAAAAUAAAAAUGUCAAUUUGUUCAUUCAAAUAUGCUUUUUUCAGUUCUAAUAAUGAUUAUCCAAGAAGCUCGUAAUUUUGUUGAGUUUUUCACUCACUAUAACCAGAAUUGAAUCUAUUACAACAAAUGAGAUGAUAUCAACACAAGAAAUAAUAUCAGGUCAUUCAACUUCAACUAAUCUCUUAACAACAUUGAUGAAUGACAAGCCUUAAAAUAUUAAUUAGGGUUGGCUUGCUCUUUAGUCCAAUUUCCAAUAUUUGAAGUGAAAUUAAAAGGCACAGAUCCAUCACUUCCAUCCAAAGAUCAAAUUUAAAAAUAAAGAAGCAAAACAAAAUCAGGAACAAAGCAAAUUCAGUAAGAACAUAAAGAAACUCUGUAUGUGAAACAGGGGAAAGAUCAUCACUCCCUCUGUUUCAUUUUACAUGUCAUAGUUUGUUUGGACACAAAGUUCAAGAAAUAAGAACGACUUUCAAAUUUUAUUAUCUUAAACUAAAUAUUCAUGCAAUACAUCAAAAUAUCAUCUGAACCUUAUGGUUUUAAACAUGUCAUGCAACAAUUCUUUUGCAUGAAGAGCAUUCCAAACAUGGAGGAGUUAGCAUGAAGAGCAUCCCAAACAAGUUUUGUCUUCUCAUGCAUUAACAUGGCAAAUAUGUGUGGAUACAAACUUGGGCAAAUGAAUGUUUGGUUUACUUGUACUUGCACUAUUACUUGAACUUGUUUCUAAAAAGAAAAACAUAAAACUCUUGAUUUAUCUGCCCUUGUACGUGUGUAAUGUUCAGCUUUCACCCAAAGUACAUAUACAGUUAUGACAUGAGAUUUCUUAUAAACCAAAAGAUUGGCAAGGCUAAAGCCCGAAAAAUGAAGCUCUAGAUUCACAUAAAGGAGAGGUUAAACUACAAAUUUAAAUAAGUAAUGAAUCAAAAAGUGCAACUAAUGAGUAGCAGUAACAAAUUUGUUGUCUGAUUCACUUGACAUAAAAUGAAAUUUGUUAAAGCAUCAUCACUUUUCAUGACCAUUAUUCAUAUUAAAACACAUUCACAAACAAUCCUUUAAGCAACAUCAAUUCUUAUUGCUAAAGCUACAACUUUAUCCAUUGAGUAACAUGGUCACUGGUUAAUGCUAAAGCAACAAACAUAAGCUAUAAAUCUAAUGAAAACUUAUAAAGUCUAAAGAAGAUGUUGAAACAGAUUUGCACCUAAACUACAGAUUUCAACUAAAUAAAAUAUCCAACUUUUUAAAACACACACGAACUAAUACCAAGAACUGAAAUUGAAGUAAUUUUAUUCAAUCCAUUUAUCGAUUAUUUAUAUUUAUGCCGUAAUUUUAACCCUAAUUCUAGAAGCUUUCUCCAUUGUCAACUCUCAAUUUUUUCUAAAGAUUUCCACAAGAUCUCCAUUGAACUUCAGCUCCCUAAUACAAAAAUUCGAAAGAAAUUUAACUCGACAUUCAAAUUUUUCAAAAAAAUAGGUAUAUAGAACAAUUACUCACUCUCUCUCUCUCACACACACAUAUUGUUCCAUAGAGUGGAGUGAGAACGAGAAGAAAUCUCAAAUUUUUUAAAGAUUUGUGAGAAGAUGUCAAAACCCUACCUGAAAUGUUGUUGGUGAUGAAAAUGAUUUUGGCUAGAGUAAAUUGAAGCAGAAACGUAACAGCUUCAAAACCCAACCUCAUGUAGUGUUGACAUAGAAGAUGUCAAAAUCUGCCUCGCUGAAGUGUUGGAGAAGUAAUGUAAAAACUUGUUUUUCCAACCUAGUGCCAAAAUUGAUUUAGGGAAAAUGUUAGGGAAACUUGUUAUGAAUUUAUUUUUUUGCCCAAUAAAAAUUGGAGGGAGAGUUAAAAAUGUUGGAAGGAAUAUAAUAUUUUGGUGAAAAUUUUAAGGCCACAUUUGUAAUGUGUUGUUUUUACAAUUAGAGAAAUAGAACACUUUAAAAGUGUAGCCAUAUAUGUAAAUAGUUGUUGCCAAUUAUAUCAUACUGUAACAACGUUUAUAAAGUGUAGCUUAUACCAUUAAAGAGUACACUUUACAAGUGUUGCCAAUAUUAUUGAAGCCAAAAGUUAAAAACUUGGGCUACGCUUUAAAAGCGUCCCCAAAAAUAUUUUAGGCAACACUUUAUAAGCAAUGUUCAGAUUUAGUGUGGCCGUAGGCCUAAACUGUUGUAGUGAUGCAACACUCUGGUGGCCCUUACGGCGAAAACCUAGCUGCCGGUUUCCCCCAGCUCAACGCGGCUGGUGCUGUGAAGAUGUGGGUAGAUGAGAAGCAAUGGUACAAUUAUAAUUCAAAUACUUGUCAAGCUGGUAAAGUAUGUGGACACUAUACUCAGGUAGUGUGGCGUAACUCAGUACGUCUCGGUUGUGCUAGAGUCAGGUGCAACAACGGGUGGUACUUUAUAACUUGCAAUUAUGAUCCACCAGGUAACUGGAACGGUCAACGUCCUUACGGUGAUCUAGAAGAACAACCGGACUUUGAUUCCAAGUUGGAACUUCCAACUGAUCAUGAAUAAAUUAAUUAACUGGAGUUUAUGGGAAAUAUGGAUCGAUCGUUUAAAUAAUUGCUUCUUGGUUUAUUUUUACUCUUCUUCUUGUUUUACAAUUUGGUGUUCCGUGUGCACCUGUUUAACUGAAUGAAUAAAAUGUGUAAAGUUGAUGAGUAACUAUAAUUCUAGACUCAAAGAGUUAUAUUGUACUUUGCUUAAUUAAGAUAAUUACUACUAUAGUCUAUACUUACACAAGUUUAAUUAUUUACUGAUUUUUUUACUUUAUUUUAUAAAAUUAAUUAGCAUUUUAGGCAAGUUACAACAUACAACUAAAACUUGACAAGCUGAACUUUGUGGAUAAGUUUACAUACCUUAACUUGUGUGCAAGAUAUAAGUACAAAAUAAAAUGUAAUGAUAUAAUGAUAAAAUAAGUUAUCUCAUAUAAUAUGAUGGAAUAACUAUUCCCAUGGGGUAUUUUCAUUCAUGUGAUAAUUUUGUUUAUCUCAUAUUCAUACCAAACGUCCUCGAAGAGUGUUAUUUCGACUAGUUGAUAACAAAAGCGUAUCUAGAGGGGGUUUCGUGGGUUCACGUGAAUCCAUUCUCUCCUCUCUAGAUUAUAUAUAGUAGUAUUAUAUUUUUAAAAAAAUAUUUAAAUAUAAAGGUGUGAACCCACGUUAAAAGUAGCAUAUAAUAAUACGAUGAUGAUUGGGUGCACCUCUCUAAGUAAAGAUAGAAAUUUAAAUCUUAUUUCUAUCUUAUUUUUGUUAGUAACACCCCUCCAAGUGGUUAUCGGUAACACUUUUGGCGUUUCAAUCAAUUUUUCUUUUGUUUGUUUUCUUUAAUCUUUCAAAAUUUUCAAGUGUGUAACAUUGAAAAUUCCUAAAAAAAUUACCACAGUCAAAUUUUUAUAUAAUUAAAUCAAAUGUGUAUAUUAAAAUUUAAAACUAGUAGUAUUAUUUAUGUUGAAUUUAUAAAUUUUAAAAUUUAACGGUUCAAUGUUAAGAAUGUAAAGGUCAAAUCAAUCAAAUUUAUAUCUUAGAAACAUAUUUUUGUAAUAAUGCAUCGUCCUUCUGAAAUUCUGGAUACACCUCCCGAUAAGCGUUAUUCUAACAAGGGAGUUUGCCAAAAAAUUUGUUUUUCAUAAAGGGAAUUCAGCAAGUUUUAUAUAAUGCAGUAAAUUAUUUUAUGGCAAAGGGUCCACAUAUCCUCUUAAUUUGAGUACUAAAGUUAUUGAAAUUGUCAAUGUAACUAACGUCUGAAAUUAUCUUUGAAAUUUUAAAUAUAAUGGGAUAAUAUUAAAAAAGAAACAAAAUAAAACUAUUAAUCAAUUUGCUAGUGGUGGAUAAUAUAUAACACAGUUGUAUGUAUAACUAUAUAUAAAAACAGACAAGAUGUAUGAUACAUCGAACGUUGUAGUUAAUCGAGUAAUUAACGCCAAUUCAAAUUCAUUUGUCUAAAUUUAAGCAAUACGUGAUUGCUUCUUUUGGUAAAGGUGUUAUAUAUAUAACCCAAGUAAUUAUCUAGUUGCAUUAUAUUCCAUUUAUUUAUGAGUUUAACUUCCUAGUAUACAUUAAUGACAACUUAAUAAUUACGAUCAAGUUAUUAGAAAUUAGUCAAUGAUCACUACAAUAAAACAACUUUCAGCGGCAAUAAAUAUACACAUUAAUAAAAAGUGCUAAAACUUUUACCGGCAUUAAUUAGUUAAUUGUCAUUACUCAUUAGAUCCAAUGUCGCUAUAGGCUUUAGGAAUACUUACAAAGAUAUUAAUUGCUACUAAAAACCUACUUCCCUCUAUAUCCGAAGCUGAAAAUUCUCCCUAAGAUUAUCUUAACGCUCAUAAUGCAGCUCGUAGACAAGUUGGUGUCGGCCCUAUGACAUGGGACAACAGGCUAGCUGCCUAUGCCCAAAAUUAUGCUAAUCAAAGAAUGGGGGACUGCAGGAUGCAACAUUCAAGUGGGCCCUACGGCGAAAACCUAGCCGCGGCUUUCCCCGCACUCAACGCGGGUGGUGCCGUGAAGAUGUGGGUCGAUGAGAAGCAAUGGUACCAUUAUAAUUCAAAUACUUGUCAAGCUGAUAAAGUAUGUGGACACUAUACUCAAGUAGUAUGGCGUAAUUCAGUACGUCUUGGUUGUGCUAGGGUUAGAUGCAACAAUGGGUGGUAUUUUAUAACUUGCAAUUAUGAUCCACCAGGUAAUUGGAACGGUCAACGUCCUUACGGUGAUCAUGAAUAACAACCAGACUUUGAUUCCAAAUUGGAACUUCCAACUGAAUAAAUUACAUUUCGUUACUAAUUUACCAACACAUUUAUAUUUGGGUGGUAAAUUUAGUAACACAAUCUUGCCGUUGGUAAAUAUUUGGUUAGUAAUUCAUUGGUAAUAAAUUAUAUAAACAAUUUUUUGUCAUAUUUACCAAUCGAUAUAUACUUCGUUGGUAAUAUUACCAACAAAAAGGUGUGCGAUAGUAAUAUUUCAGUUGGUAAUCCAUUGAUAGAAUGUUGCUAAAAUUUGGCGCCAUUUUUUCCCGCCGUAUUUACUAUUUACCAACUAAAAUACUUAGUUAGUAAGAUUUUGGUUGGUAAUCUGUUAGAAUUUCGUUGUUAAGUUUUAAAAUAUAAUUCAGUUAGAAAUCUGUUGGUAAUUUGUUAGUAGAAUACUAACCAACUUAAGUUGUUAGUAAAAUUUGUUGGUAAUUUGGGGUUUUUUUGUAGUGACAUGUUUAGCAGUACGUAUUUAAGCUAUUACCGCUAAUUAAAUGUCUCUAAAGAUCAUUUUUGAUGUAGUGAAUAAGCAUUUUUUUAAUAGUGAGUAUAAAGUAUAAGCUGAUCGAUAACCUGCAAAACAUGGUAUAUUACCUAUUACAACAUGUAAAAUUAUACGAAUAGUAUUUAAAUCUUUUACAUUUGUGUGUACAUAUAAUUUAAAUCCUUAUUUAAAUAAGAACAAAUUAUCCAAAUACACAUGUUAUUUUAUCAUAAUCUCUAAAAUUCUCUACCAUUUAAAAAAAUUCAAAAAUCCCCUCUCGGAUACAUCACUAAUUUCCUCUCGCUAAUACAUCCUUAUCUCUCUCGGAUACAUCCUUCCCCUCUCUAUACAUUCCUCCCCUCUCAGAUGUCCCUCUCCUAUAUAUGUAUCCGGAGAGGAUACAUUCCUCCCCUAUGUAUCCGGAUGUCCUAUCCCCUCUCUGAUACAUCUCUCCCCUCUCGGAUACAUCCCUCGCCUAUGCAUCUGAAAGUCUACUAAUGUAUCCCAAAAUCGAGUGAUGUAUCCGAAAUUCAUAAAUUUUAAGGAAUUUUUGUAAUUUGAAAAAGGAUAGAAAAAUAAUGUAAUAAGCUCUUACCACUAUGAAAUUUAUGUAAAUUAUACAAAAUAAAUAUCUACCAGUACUAUACGAAUAUCUUAAGGUUAAUGCAUUUACAAGGGAGAUGUAUAAAAGUUGCUUUAAAAUGCUCUACUUCUUUUCACUUUGCACAUGCAAAAUUCCUAAUUUCACGAAGCAAAAUACUCACAUUUUGCACCUAUAAAUAUCCAACAUAUCCAAUUCCUUCUCAUCACCUCUUCAAAUUAAAAAUGGCAUUAUUCAAAGCUUCUAAUGUUGUAAUUUGUUUCAUUAUUUUUGCCUUUGUUUUACCUUAUUGUGAUGCCCAAAAUUCCCAAACAGACUAUCUCAACACUCAUAAUUCAGCUCGAUCUCAAGUAACUGGUGUUAGUGCAAUAACAUGGAACACAACUCUUGAAAAUUAUGCACAAACUUAUGCGAAUCAAAGAAUUAGUGAUUGCAAUCUUGUCCACUCUAAUGGUCCUUACGGCGAAAAUAUUGCUAAGGGAAGUGGUUCUUUCAUGACCGGCACUGCUGCUGUUAACUUGUGGGUGGGCGAAAAACCGUACUAUGAUUAUAAUAGUAAUAGUUGCACUGGUGGAAAAGAAUGUCGACAUUAUACUCAAGUAGUCUGGAAAAACUCGAUUCAACUUGGUUGUGCUCGAGUUCAGUGUACCAACGGCUGGUGGUUUGUUACAUGCAACUAUAAUCCUCCAGGCAAUUACAUUGGUCAACGCCCGUACUAAUUAUAUUGACUAACAUCAAGUUUUAUAAUCAAAUAAGAAAAUUAGUAUAUGAACAAUAAGCUACGCAUUUUAUAGAGGUCUUUAUGAUCUCUAUAUAUACCUGCGUUGCAUUUUAGCUUUGUUUUGUACCAAUAAAUUACAAGAAUUAUUUUCUUGUACAUGUUGUUUGAGUUCAUUGUUUUAUGUAUGACAUAUUUGGUCAUUCCGUUAAAGGAUGACCAGUUGAAUAAAAAAAUAUUUUUGAUUUUAGAUUAUAUAUAUAUAGUAAUUAAUGUAAGAAAUUUUUAUAGAAUUAUGUUAUUUUUAAAUUUAUAAUGAAUAAUAUAAUUUUUAAGAUUAUAAUCUCAUAUUUUAAAAAAGAACUAUGUGAAUAUUUUUUGACAGAUCUGAUAGCCUAAACAAAAACUUUAUAGAACUUUAAUAUAUGACGUAAAGCAGAUUUUAAAAAAAUGGAAAAUCAUUUUCACACUCCAAUUUGUUUUAAAAAUCAACACACCCCCAAAACCCUUUAUCCUAUGCAAUAUCUAUUUUACACUUGCCAUUUUCAACCAUUUAUCUAGUAUCUUUUUAUAUUAUAUAUAAUAUUUAUGUUCUUAAUUUAUGUAUUUAUAUUAUCGUGCUUCUGACCAUGUGUUUAUUAAUAAUUUGUUGAACAAAUUAUUGUACAAAAUAAUUAUAAAAAAAAAAAGGAUUAAACUGUUAAGUUGGAUAUAUGCAUAAGUUUCCCAUAACUUAAAAGGCGGCUUUUACAUUUAUGAAGAGAAAAAAAUGUAGUUGCAACAUCACUUGCUUUAUGAGGCUUAACUUUAGAUUAGUGUUUAAACAAAAUGGCUAGUGGUAGUAUUCUGUAUUCAUGGUAAAAAAUAGUGGUAUUAUUCAUGGUGAAAAGUAAUAUCAUAUUCAUAAUAUAUUUAAUUUAAAAGAUCAAACAGUUAUUUCUAGAAAUAUUUUUAAUCCUUAAUUUAAAAGGCAGGUCAAUAUAGCAUCUCAGGUUAGCAUAAUCCAGAGAAAGGGCCACAAAAUUGAAGUCAAGUUCAUAUAUAGAAAUUAAAAUAACUCCUAGUUGGUUCGCUGUCAUUUUUCUGUUUCCAUGUUUCAACUAUAACAUACAUCUCCACCCUCGGUCUGUUUCAAUUUGUCUGUUUUACUUCUUUUUUAAUUUGUUUUAAAAUAUAUUAUAUUUAUCUUUUUUUCAUAAUUUGACUCUCAAAAAUACUUUCUAAAAAAGACUAUUCAGAUACAAUUUAUUUAUUAAAAACAUUUUUUCAAAUGAAUUAGGCCAAACAUUAAUUAUUAUUUUUUUCAAAACUACUGUUCUGAAAUGUUUUUUUUAUUUAAAAAAAGUGCUUCUAAAAACAAACAAUUUUUAGCAGUAUGUCAAAUAGGCUUUGAGACCAGAAGAUCAAAUGACAUUUUGAUACAUUUUAUGUAUCUUUAACAGGACUACAAAAUUCAGUAAUUAGUCUCUUUUACUUAUUAAACAUUGCAUCAAAUUAAAAUCAGACAAAUAAAUUAAAAUAAAAAAAUAGCUAACGUGUAUGACUUUUGUGAAAAUUAUUUUUUUACUAAUAAAACAGAAAAGUGUACUAAUUUAAUACUGUUGUUGAAACAAUUAACCAAAUGACUAGUGGUACCUCUAAGCACCUAAAAUCAAAUAGUUGCAUAAUGUGUCAUGUCAUUCUUUUACUUUCACAACCUAAAUCUUAUAUUUUCCCCCAUAUUUUAGUUUUUGAUAUUUAUAUUGGUGUUUGAUUAAAUACGAAUUAAAAGUUUUAUUUUAGGAUUAAUAAUACUAGGUUCGUAAUAAAUUUAACUUCGGACCCAAUAAAGUUCUAACUCAAAACUCAAGUUAAUGAUGAAAAAUUACUUACCACUCAUUCACAACUCUUAUUACUUCACCCAAUAAACUCAUAUGCUUUUUGUUUCAUUACCUUUGCUAUAUUUCCCUCUAUAUCCCAAGCUCAAAAUUCUCCCCAAGAUUAUCUUAACACUCAUAAUGCAGCUCGUAGACAAGUUGGUGUCGGCCCUAUGACAUGGGACAACAGGCUAGCUGUCUAUGCCCAAAAUUAUGCUAAUCAAAGAAUGGGGGACUGCAGGAUGCAACAUUCAAGUGGGCCCUACGGCGAAAACCUAGCUGCGGCUUUCCCCGCACUCAACGCGGGUGGUGCCGUGAAGAUGUGGGUCGAUGAGAAGCAAUGGUACCAUUAUAAUUCAA
rnacentral:lncRNA from 1 species